rnacentral:lncRNA from 1 species
AGCAUCCCCACCUUGGCUGGCCAGGCACUGCACUGUGGAGCAGGGGGUGUAUGGAGUAAACCUGGCUUGGAGAGGGGACAGAGCACACCUGAGGGAAGUGGCACAGGAGAAAAUACAUGUUGGGUCUUGCUGUGGCUGCUGCUGUCUGGUUCUCCCUGGAACUGGACCCUGCCCGCUGUGCUGGUGAGCCCUGGCCCCGUUUGCACCCUGCAGCCCGGGACAGCCGAGCCCUCUCCCCAGAUGCAGACUGGUGGAAAAUCUUGACAGAGGAAUGGAGCAGCUUUCCUACAUCUAGUACCUGUCUGCAGAGCAGAGGAUGUGAAAGAUGGAUGUCAGGAGCUCGCCUUGUUUAG